GAGUUUGAUCAUGGCUCAGGACGAACGCUGGCGGCGUGCUUAACACAUGCAAGUCGAGCGCGAACUAGAGGUUGGAAGUUAGAGGUUAGAAGUUAGAAGAGGUAGGAAUUGGCCCGCGGCCAAUUCCAUCGACCAGUUCUAAUUUCUAAUUUCCAACUUCCAACCUCUAGGGAGAGCGGCGGACGGGUGAGUAACGCGUGGGUAACCUGCCCGUAAAUCUGGGAUAACAGCGGGAAACCGUUGCUAAUACCGGAUACACCCAUAGGCUCCCAAGGGCUUAUGGGGAAAGGCCCUUAUGGGUCGUUUACGGAUGGGCCCGCGUCCCAUUAGCUAGUUGGUAGGGUAACGGCCUGCCAAGGCGACGAUGGGUAGCCGGCCUGAGAGGGUGGUCGGCCACACUGGAACUGAGACACGGUCCAGACUCCUACGGGAGGCAGCAGUGGGGAAUAUUGCGCAAUGGGGGAAACCCUGACGCAGCGACGCCGCGUGAAGGAAGAAGGCCUUCGGGUUGUAAACUUCUUUGAUCGGGGACGAAAAUGACGGUACCCGAGGAACAAGCCACGGCUAACUACGUGCCAGCAGCCGCGGUAAGACGUAGGGGGCAAGCGUUACCCGGAAUUACUGGGCGUAAAGGGGGCGUAGGCGGUAAAAGAAGUCAUCUGUGAAAACCUAUUGCUCAACGAUAGGCUAGCGGAUGAAACUGAAUUACUUGAGGGCACCAGAGGUAGACGGAAUUACCCGAGUAGGGGUGAAAUCCGCAGAUACGGGUAGGAACGCCGGUGGAGAAGUCGGUCUACUGGGGUGCACCAGACGCUGAGGCCCGAAAGCUAGGGGAGCAAACCGGAUUAGAUACCCGGGUAGUCCUAGCCGUAAACGAUGCUCACUAGGUGUAGGGAGUGAUAAACUCUCUGUGCUGAAGCGAACGCGCUAAGUGAGCCGCCUGGGGAGUACGUCCGCAAGGAUGAAACUCAAAGGAAUUGACGGGGGUCCGCACAAGCGGUGGAGCAUGUGGUUUAAUUCGAUGGUAACCGAAGAACCUUACCAGGGAUUGACAUGUAACUGAAGGUAGAGAAAUCUACUGGCCUGCUGCAAAGCGGGAGGUUACACAGGUGGUGCACGGCCGUCGUCAGCUCGUGCCGUGAGGUGUUGGGUUAAGUCCCGCAACGAGCGCAACCCCUACGAUUAGUUACUAACGCGGAAAGGCGAGGACUCUAAUCGGACUGCCGCCGACGAGGCGGAGGAAGGAGGGGAUGACGUCAGGUAAGCGUGCCCCUUAUACUCUGGGCGACACACGUGCUACAAUGGAGGGGACAAAGGGAAGCGAAGCCGAGAGGUGGAGCGGAUCCUAAAAAAACUCUCCGAAAUACGGAUUGUAGGCUGCAACCCGCCUACAUGAAGUCGGAAUCGCUAGUAAUCGCAGGUCAGCCAAACUGCGGUGAAUACGUUCCCGGGCCUUGUACACACCGCCCGUCACGCCACCCGAGUUGGGAACACCUGAAGGCAGUACGGGAGGUACUGUUGAAGGUGGGCUUGGCGAGGGGGGCGAAGUCGUAACAAGGUAGCCG
rnacentral:rRNA from 1 species